rnacentral:tRNA from 1 species
CAUGGUGUAGCGUCAUGAUAUCGCGUGCCGCUACAAGCGGUAAGGUCGCAGGUUCGAAUCCUGCCGCCCCGA